rnacentral:rRNA from 1 species
UCUGACUNGAGUGCAGAAGGGGAGAGUGGAAUUCCAUGUGUAGCGGUGAAAUGCGUAGAUAUAUGGAGGAACACCAGUGGCGAAAGCGGCUCUCUGGUCUGUCACUGACGCUGAGGCUCGAAAGCGUGGGUAGCGAACAGGAUUAGAUACCCUGGUAGUCCACGCCGUAAACGAUGAGUGCUAGGUGUUAGGCCCUUUCCGGGGCUUAGUGCCGGAGCUAACGCAAUAAGCACUCCGCCUGGGGAGUACGACCGCAGGGUUGAAACUCAAAGGAAUUGACGGGGGCCCGCACAAGCGGUGGAGCAUGUGGUUUAAUUCGAAGCAACGCGAAGAACCUUACCAGGUCUUGACAUCCCGAUGCUAUUCUUAGAGAUAGGAAGUUACUUCGGUACAUCGGAGACAGGUGGUGCAUGGUUGUCGUCAGCUCGUGUCGUGAGAUGUUGGGUUAAGUCCCGCAACGAGCGCAACCCUUAUUGUUAGUUGCCAUCAUUAAGUUGGGCACUCUAGCGAGACUGCCGGUAAUAAACCGGAGGAAGGUGGGGAUGACGUCAAAUCAUCAUGCCCCUUAUGACCUGGGCUACACACGUGCUACAAUGGUCGGUACAACGAGUUGCGAGCCGGUGACGGCAAGCUAAUCUCUGAAAGCCGAUCUCAGUUCGGAUUGGAGGCUGCAACUCGCCUCCAUGAAGUCGGAAUCGCUAGUAAUCGCGGAUCAGCACGCCGCGGUGAAUACGUUCCCGGGCCUUGUACACACCGCCCGUCACACCACGAGAGUUUGUAACACCCGAAGUCGGUGAGGUAACCUUUUAGG